rnacentral:rRNA from 1 species
AGAGUUUGAUCAUGGCUCAGGACGAACGCUGGCGGCGUGCCUAACACAUGCAAGUCGAGCGGAGACAUGUUGACGGAAGGCUUCGGCUGGAAGACGAUAUGUUUUAGCGGCGGACGGGUGAGUAACGCGUGAGCAACCUUUCCUUCACAGGGGGAUAAGAUACCGAAAGGUGUUCUAAUACCGCAUGAGACCACAGAGCCACAUGGCUCAGGGGUCAAAGGAGCAAUCCGGUGAAGGGUGGGCUCGCGUCCGAUUAGCUAGUUGGUGAGGUGACGGCCCACCAAGGCGACGAUCGGUAGCCGACCUGGAGAGGGUGAUCCGGCCACAGUUGGAACUGGAGAGACCGGUCCAAACGUCCGUACGGGAGGCA